UAUUUUCCUGAAUUUAGUUUAUUCCUUUGUUGUUCUUUUACACCAAUGUCCACGGUUAGAUAGAGGGGUUGAGGUCAGCACAAUUCAUUACUCUCUUUUGCAUGAACAACACAGCGGGUACCGGGUUGCUUUACGCGGCAUUAGCACAACAAGGCUAUAUCGCGCGAUGCGUUUCGUAUUGUCAUUGCGCUGUUAUUUUGUCGUCGACUUACGGGUUUGAAUAUCUCUCUGGUAUCUAAGUCCUGGCCUUGAAGGCAUAAAACUUUCGAGUCAGUUUUUUGUACUCGUACUCUAAAAUCAAGCAAUCAAAAUGUUGGAUUUUAUGUUUCGAGCAUGAUUAUGUGCUCCGAGCACUGAGUUUUGUGACUUCAACCCCUGCCACAUGAGUCAGAGAUUGUAAGAAAUUUGAUCUAAACUCUGGAAGAAGGAUCAUCGAAAAUACGAGUGAACAAUGAGUUUCCUGACUAGUGUUUCCUCCUUCUUCUGUCCUGUGUUUAGCUUAAAAUAAAUUAACAAGACGAUGCCAGUUACAUGUACAUAUAACACCAGCGACGGACUUAUGAGGAAGAUAUUUGUUUGCCGUGGAGUCAUAUCAAUUUAAGAAUUUGUUUCUUAAUUUCUUAAUUACUGUCAGUCCCACUAUUGCAAAAAAAAAAAAAGAGAGACAGAAGUUACCAAAGGCACAUUCAAACGACAAACUACAGUAUACAGGUUGCAACAUGAUCAACUUAAAAAGAGUGCAACCAAAACGCCACCAAAAAACCGGCAGUGAUACAAGGUGCCUUGGGAGUGUCAGAGUAUCAUACUCAGUCUUCUGACUCAUAAAUACGAACCCGAUGUUAAGUCUUUUUCGGCAUGUCAUAGUCGGAAAAAAGGAGUGUGCGGUUGUGGUUACGAUGAUUGGAACACAGCCGUCAUCAUCUGUGAAUCAGAAAUCCCCAACGUUCAACCAACUAGCUAUAUUAAUGGCUUCCGAAAAAUGUUUUAAGGAAUCUCAUCUUUGUUAGAUGUCUUUCUCUUAUGGUACACUUCAAUCCAGUAUUCCGGUUCAAUAACAUUCUAUUUCUAUCUUAAGAUAAUUAUUUGGUGUAAACAUUGUUAGUUUAUAAUUUUCAUGCAUAUGUAGGUAGCCAUAGUCAAUAUUACCUAAUAGGCAUGUAAACACUUGUUAAAUGUUGAUACACAGAGAUAUCAUGUAAUCUUAAAACAACAAAAGCACUUGCGAUACAAUGUAUUUAUUUGUUCGGAUUUUUGAUCUGUUUAAAAUUUAUAAAUGUUAUAUAAUGUUUUACGAAACGCACGUCUGG
rnacentral:lncRNA from 1 species